rnacentral:rRNA from 1 species
CCUACGGGAGGCAGCAGUGGGGGAUAUUGCACAAUGGGGGGAACCCUGAUGCAGCGACGCCGCGUGGGUGAAGAAGCGCCUCGGCGCGUAAAGCCCUGUCAGCAGGGAAGAAAAUGACGGUACCUGGAGAAGAAGCCCCGGCUAACUACGUGCCAGCAGCCGCGGUAAUACGUAGGGGGCAAGCGUUAUCCGGAUUUACUGGGUGUAAAGGGGGCGCAGACGGCGAUGCAAGCCAGGAGUGAAAGCCCGGGGCCCAACCCCGGGACUGCUCUUGGAACUGCGUGGCUUGAGUGCAGGAGGGGCAGGCGGAAUUCCUGGUGUAGCGGUGAAAUGCGUAGAUAUCAGGAGGAACACCGGUGGCGAAGGCGGCCUGCUGGACUGCAACUGACGUUGAGGCCCGAAAGCGUGGGGAGCAAACAGGAUUAGAUACCCCGGUAGUC